AGCAAGGGUUGUCAUCAGGUAGGAGUCGACUCAUGAUGCAAAUAAAGAGCACUCAAUGAUCAAACAAAGAGAACUCAUCAAGAAGAGUGAACAAAAAAAAACAAGAAAAAAAAACAAAAACAAGCAAACAAACAAAAAGAACAAAAAAUCACAAAGUGAUGAUGAGCAAAGAGAAUGAAAAUCAAAGUUCAAGAAAAACAAAGUGCUCAAAAAGUCAAAUAGUUGAUGCAAUACUUAGAUGAUAACCCUUGUUUCAAAAAAAUAACCAACAAACAUUCAUUUGGGCCUUCAUAUCCUUUUUUCAAAUACCUUUUAGCCCUUAGCCACGUUACAAGCCUAAUAAAGCCCACACAGAUUGAACAAUGAUUGCUCAAAUUUUCAUAAAGCUUAAUUUUGUGAUAAGGUGAAUUGACAUUCAAUAUGUCGUAAAAAAAAAAAAGUUUGAAAAUGAAAAAAAAAGAAGAAAAGUGAUGUCUAGGGUAGAGGGGAUCACCCUGCCAUCCAACCAGAAGCAUGCAAAAGAAAAAUCAAACCAGUUGGGGCCAUCCUUUUAGCCUAUCCUUUUCAUGCCCACCACUUCUUCCAAAUAGAACCCUAUGCAAAAAAAACUGGGGCAACAUUGUGGAUUUCACCAUGCAUCUUCGCCCUGAAAUUCAUCAACCCGUAACCUCAAGACCGGGCAACUUCGCGAGUCUCACUUGAUUUUCUCACCCUAAUGUUCAUGGAUCCAAAACCCAGUUCAUUUUCCAAAAGACCAAACUGGGACAACCUUUGUGUAUCCCAUUUCACCUUGACAUUCUUGUAUCACAUCUCAAUCAACGAGUGUGAGGGAUGAAGUGCCCAUGUGCCUGUCCCAACCUUCCAAACCAUUCUAAACAACUCUCAUUCUCUUCAAACCAUCCUUUUGCCAAUAAAUUCAAGCAUUUGUGCACUGAUGUCUCGGAAGAAAAAGUCAAAAUGUAAUAAUUUCAAGUUAGACCUCGAGAUGUAUGACAUUCCUCAAUUUUC
rnacentral:lncRNA from 1 species